AUACGGAGGAUGCGAGCGUUAUCCGGAUUUAUUGGGUUUAAAGGGAGCGUAGGCGGGAGCUUAAGUCAGCGGUUAAAUGGUGCGGCUCAACCGUGCCCUGCCGUUGAAACUGGGUUUCUUGAGAGUGCAAGAGGCGGAUGGAAUUCAUGGUGUAGCGGUGAAAUGCUUAGAUAUCAUGAAGAACUCCGAUUGCGAAGGCAGUCCGCUGGGGCACGUCUGACGCUGAUGCUCGAAGGUGCGGGAAUCAAACAGGAUUAGAUACCCUGGUAGUCCGCACAGUAAACGAUGGACACUCGUGGUCGGCGACACACUGCCGGUCACCAAGCGAAAGCGAUAAGUGUCUCACCUGGGGAGUACGCCGGCAACGGUGAAACUCAAAUGAAUUGACGGGG
rnacentral:rRNA from 1 species